ACUGGUCGAGUCGGCCUGCGCGGAAGAUGUAACGGGGCUAAACCAUGCACCGAAGCUGCGGCAGCGACGCUGAUGCGUUGUUGGGUAGGGGAGCGUUCUGUAAGCCUGUGAAGGUGUGUCGUGAGGCAUGCUGGAGGUAUCAGAAGUGCGAAUGCUGACAUAAGUAACGAUAAAGCGGGUGAAAAGCCCGCUCGCCGGAAGACCAA
rnacentral:rRNA from 1 species